CGCGGGCGGGAACCGGGGCUGCGCGUGGUGCUUGCAGGCCAGUGCGAGUACCAGGUGGGCGUGGGCUCGGCAGGCCCCACACUUGGAGCGGCCUGCCGGCCCCGCCGGCCCCCGGCAGUGAGGGGCUUAGCACCUGGGCCAGCAGCUGCUGUGCUCAAUUUCUCGCGGGGCCUUAGCUGCCUUCCCACGGGGCAGCGCUCGGGACCUGCAGCCCGCCAUGCCUGAGCCUCCCCGCUCCUCCGUGGGCUCCUGCCUCCCCCACGAGCGCUGCCCCCGGCUCCACGGCACCCAGUCCCAUCGAUCACCCAAGGGCUGAGGAGUGCUGGCGUGCACUGCUCGGGACUGGCAGGCAGCUCUACCUGCAGCCUCCGUGCGGGAUCCACCUGGUGAAGCCAGCUGGGUGCUCCUGAGUCUGGUGGGGACUUGGAGAACCUUUACGUCUAGCUAAGGGAUUGUAAAUACACCAAUCGGCACUCUGUAUCUAGCUCAAGGUUUGUAAACACACCAAUCAGCACCCUGUUUCUAGCUCAGGGUUUGUGAAUGCACCAAUCCACACUCUGUAUCUAGCUACUCUGGUGGGGCCUUGGAGAACCUUUAUGUCUAGCUCAGGGAUUGUAAAUACACCAAUCGGCACUCUGUAUCUAGCUCAAGGUUUGUAAACACACCAAUCAGCACCCUGUUUCUAGCUUAGGGUUUGUGAAUGCACCAAUGGACACUCUGUAUCUAGCUACUCUGGUGGGGAGGUGGAGAACCUUUGUGUCUAGCUCAGGGAUUGUAAACGCACCAAUCAGUGCCCUGUCAAAACAGACCACUGGGUUCUACCAAUCAGCAGGAUGUGGGUGGGGCCAGAUAAGAGAAUAAAAGCAGGCUGCCCCAGCCAGCAGUGGCAACUCGCUGGGGUCCCCUUCCACCCUUUGAAAACUUUGUUCUUUGGUUCUUUGCAAUAAAUGUUGCUGCUGCUCACUCUUCGGGUCUGCACUGGCUUUAUGAGCUGUAACACUCACUGCGAAGGUCUGCAGCUUCACUCCUGGAGCCAGUGAGACCCCGAGCCCACCGGGAGGACCGAAGAACUUCAGAUGCGCCGCGUUAAGAGCUGUAACACUCACCGCGAAGGUCUGCAGCUUCACUCCUGAGCCAGCGAGACCACGAACCCACCAGAAGGAAGAAACUCGGAACACAUCCGAAUAUCAGUAGGAACAAACUCCGGACACGCCGCUUUUAAGAACUGUAACACUCACCUCGAGGGUCCGCGGCUUCAUUCUUGAAGUCAGGGAGACCAAGAACCCCCCAAUUCCGGACACAGGGGGACUUGGCUGCUUCCUGUUUCUAUCAUAGACGCAGCUGGCCUCAGAAUAUUCCACUUAUGGAUGAAAGAAUGAUAGUGUUAUUUUAUGGAAGAAUUUAAGAAGAUGUUGCGGUAUCAUCGACUUUAUUUUUUGUUCAUUCUGAAAAUCACAUCGCCAGAUCCAACACCUUUUUAUCCCAAUCACCAGUACAAGCCACCCGUAUCAGUGUACACUGUGGCUGACCGAUCCAUAGUGAUGCUUUGAGGUGGGUGUCAUUGUGACUGGCUGCUACCUCCCCAUGAGUCUUCUAAAAUAAAACCUGCAAAUUCACAUCUUCCCCAUGCUUCCAGAGAAUGCAUAUUCUUCCUUUGAAAAAAGAAAACCAGGUAGUCGUACAGUGUCCAGAAGGCAAAAGGACAAGUAUGCACUGCCCUACUUACCUACUUUCCACACUGCUGCACAGGAAAAUCUGACAGAGGACAAUAACAAACAUCUCACCAGCUCAUGCGUUCUUUUUUGAUCCUAAUUCCGAGAGACUCACCAAAGACAUGAAGAGAAAACAAACAAUACUUUUCUUGGAAAUAUUGUAAUUGCUGGUACAUUUGUUGUUCUGGCAUAAAGUAGAAAUUGUCAGUUACCAGAACAAUACUCAGUGAACUUAUGAAUAUAUGGUAAAUAUUAAACACAUCCCACUUGGAUGAGAAGAUAUGUGAGUCGAUGAGUAUAGCUAAGUCUAAAGUUAGAUGUGUUCCAUAAACAUAGUGUUUAUGGAGUUGGUGCAUAUUCACUUCUCAAUUGAAGCCACAAAAUCCACAGCACACAAAGACCCUGCUACCAUGUAUUCACUUCAG
rnacentral:lncRNA from 1 species